GACGAACGCUGGCGGCGUGCCUAAUACAUGCAAGUAGGACGCAGUUGCGAACGGGUGAGUAACGCGUAGGUUAAUGCCUAUUAGAGGGGGAUAACUAUUGGAAACGAUAGCUAAUACCGCAUACUAGUAGAUGGACCUGCGUUGUCUUAGCUAGUAGGUAGGGUAAUGGCCUACCUAGGCAACGCUGCAUAGCCGACCUGAGAAGGGGAUCGGCCACACUGGGACGUAGACACGGCCCAGACUCCUACGGGAGGCAGCAGUAGGGAAUCUUCGGGAAUGGGGGGAACCCUUGCCGAGCAACGCCGCGUUAGUGAAGAAGGUUUUCGGAUCGUAAAGCUCUGUUGUUAAGUAAACGGUACUUAACCAGAAAGGGACGGCUAACUACGUGCCAGCAGCCGCGGUAAUAC
rnacentral:rRNA from 1 species